CCAUAAUAUAAUCAUAAUCUAUUGAUAUAUGAUAAAAGACAUAAAGUCACCAUUGAAAUUGUUCCAAAUUUUCAAAAAGAUACAUUAACUUAGCAAUUAUCAUAUUACCCUACUUAAGUUUUUGACAUCUUUGUAAAAUAGUUGUUUUGACCCUUUCCACAACCUAGACUGUGAAAACACGCACAACAUGCGUGUGAAGCAGUGUUUCACUAAUACAUUUAAAAGUGACAUGUGUCACUUGCUUUCUUUAUCAAUUAAUCGUUUUUCUUCCUUUUCAUCAUCUUCCCCAAAAGAAAGCUAAAAAAGGUCAUUGGUGCCUCUCUUGACGGACCAUUUCAUCAUCAAUUUUGGUCGUUGCGUGGGCAUCACACGCGUUGUCCCGGGUGAGGGAACGGGUGAAAACGACCCUUCUACAAAGAUGCUAAAAACUCUAAUGGGAUAAUAUGACGGUUGCAAAGUUAGGGUGUCUUUUUGAAAAUUCGGAACAACUUUAUUACAAAGAUGUGAUAUCAUUGAGGUUUGGUUCAAUCCUAAAUAAUACUAUUUCAAUAUAUAAUAUAUUCUAUCAUGUUACCAUUGUCUGCUUUACUCCUUCCAUGAGACUCACCUUAAUUGUUCGUGAUACCAUCAUAGUAUAUUGUAUACUAACAUAAUAUUGUUGAUGUAUUCUUCCAUCAUUCAGUACGAUA